AUGGUGAAUAGGCUGUGGCCUCUCUUAACUGAGCUUAUUUCUGAAAAUCAAAGUGCCUUCAUCCCUGGGAGGCUCAUCUCUGAUAACUCCAUCAUCGCGUUUGAGUGCAUUCAUCACAUCCAAAACGCCAAAGCAAACUCACAAUCGUUGUGUGCGUACAAACUGGAUUUGUCAAAGGCUUAUGACCGUGUUGAUUGGAACUUCCUGCAGAGGGCUCUCUCUAAGUGGGGAUUCUCCGAUGAAUGGAUCUCUCGCGUUAUGGCAUGUGCUACAUACAUGAAGUACUCGAUAAAAUUCAAUGGGAAAUCGUUGGAACGCUUCUCCCCCUCAAGAGGGCUCCGCCAAGGUGAUCCAUUAUGCCCCUUCCUCUUCCUCUUUGUGGCUGAUGCUCUUUCUAUUCUUCUGUAUAAGUCAAUGAGAGAAGAAGGACUACAAGGGGUCAAGAUAUGCAGGAGUGCUCCGGUGAUAUCACAUCUUUUGUUUGCGGAUGACUCACUUCUGUUUUUUCACACAUCGGAACAGCAAGCUAGUUUGGUCAAAGGUGUGUUGAACACGUAUACGGCGACGACAGGACAAUUAAUCAACCCGUCGAAGUGCUCCAUCCUUUUUUCAAAUAAUUGCUUGCCAAGUGUGGUACAAGAGGUUAAGUCUGUUCUGGAGAUUACACAAGAAGUUUUUGAACCGAAGUACUUGGGCCUCCCGGUCCCAGAAGGAAGAAUGCACAAAGGGAACUUUGAAACCAUCCAGGAUUGGUUGCGCAAGAAGCUCAUUGAUUGGAGUGAGCAAUAUGUGUCUUCUGGCAAUAAGGAGAUUUUGAUCAAGGCGGUAGCACAGGCCCUACCUACUUAUGUCAUGAGUGUCUUUAAGCUCCCUGCCUCCGUUUGUGAUGAGCUGACUCGUAUGAUUCAUCAAUAUUGGCGAGGAGUUGAAAACGGGAAGAAGAAGAUGGCCUGGAUGAGUUGGGACAGAUUUAGGCUACCUAAACCUAUGGGUGGCAUGGGGUUUAAGGAUAUGAGGGCGUUUAAUCAAGCAUUGUUGGCCAAACAAGCUUGGCGCCUAAUAGACACGCCGGACAGCCUCCGUGCAUGUCUUAUGAAAGUCAGAUACUACCCUUCGGGACAACUGUUGGAUACGUCGUUCUCAGGCAGCGGUUCUUCAGUGUGGAAGGGUAUUUUACAUGGUCUCGAUCUGUUA
rnacentral:rRNA from 1 species